GACGAGCGCUGGCGGCGCGCUUAACACAUGCAAGUCGAACAGAAAGGCCUGCUUUCCCUUGUGGAUUGCGGGUACUCGAGUGGCGAACGGGUGAGUAACACGUGAGUGAUCUGCCCCCAACUUGGGUUUAAGCCUGGGAAACUGGGUCUAAUUCCCGAUAGGACUGCAGGGUGGUGCCUGUGGUGGAAAACGAUUUUCUAGUGGUUGGGGAUGAGCUCGCGGCCUAUCAGCUUGUUGGUGGGGUAAUGGCCUACCAAGGCGGCGACGGGUAGCCGGCCUGAGAGGGUGGACGGCCACAUUGGGACUGAGAUACGGCCCAGACUCCUACGGGAGGCAGCAGUGGGGAAUAUUGCACAAUGGGCGGAAGCCUGAUGCAGCGACGCCGCGUGGGGGAUGACGGCCUUCGGGUUGUAAACUCCUUUCGACCGCGAGGAAGCCACCUGGUUGGAAGGGUGGUGACGGUAGUGGUAGAAGAAGCACCGGCUAACUACGUG
rnacentral:rRNA from 1 species